rnacentral:rRNA from 1 species
UUAAGCGACUAAGCGUACACGGUGGAUGCCCUGGCAGUCAGAGGCGAUGAAGGACGUGCUAAUCUGCGAUAAGCGUCGGUAAGGUGAUAUGAACCGUUAUAACCGGCGAUUUCCGAAUGGGGAAACCCAGUGUGUUUCGACACACUAUCAUUAACUGAAUCCAUAGGUUAAUGAGGCGAACCGGGGGAACUGAAACAUCUAAGUACCCCGAGGAAAAGAAAUCAACCGAGAUUCCCCCAGUAGCGGCGAGCGAACGGGGAGCAGCCCAGAGCCUGAAUCAGUGUGUGUGUUAGUGGAAGCGUCUGGAAAGGCGCGCGAUACAGGGUGACAGCCCCGUACACAAAAAUGCACAUGCUGUGAGCUCGAUGAGUAGGGCGGGACACGUGGUAUCCUGUCUGAAUAUGGGGGGACCAUCCUCCAAGGCUAAAUACUCCUGACUGACCGAUAGUGAACCAGUACCGUGAGGGAAAGGCGAAAAGAACCCCGGCGAGGGGAGUGAAAAAGAACCUGAAACCGUGUACGUACAAGCAGUGGGAGCACGCUUAGGCGUGUGACUGCGUACCUUUUGUAUAAUGGGUCAGCGACUUAUAUUCUGUAGCAAGGUUAACCGAAUAGGGGAGCCGAAGGGAAACCGAGUCUUAACUGGGCGUUAAGUUGCAGGGUAUAGACCCGAAACCCGGUGAUCUAGCCAUGGGCAGGUUGAAGGUUGGGUAACACUAACUGGAGGACCGAACCGACUAAUGUUGAAAAAUUAGCGGAUGACUUGUGGCUGGGGGUGAAAGGCCAAUCAAACCGGGAGAUAGCUGGUUCUCCCCGAAAGCUAUUUAGGUAGCGCCUCGUGAAUUCAUCUCCGGGGGUAGAGCACUGUUUCGGCAAGGGGGUCAUCCCGACUUACCAACCCGAUGCAAACUGCGAAUACCGGAGAAUGUUAUCACGGGAGACACACGGCGGGUGCUAACGUCCGUCGUGAAGAGGGAAACAACCCAGACCGCCAGCUAAGGUCCCAAAGUCAUGGUUAAGUGGGAAACGAUGUGGGAAGGCCCAGACAGCCAGGAUGUUGGCUUAGAAGCAGCCAUCAUUUAAAGAAAGCGUAAUAGCUCACUGGUCGAGUCGGCCUGCGCGGAAGAUGUAACGGGGCUAAACCAUGCACCGAAGCUGCGGCAGCGACACUAUGUGUUGUUGGGUAGGGGAGCGUUCUGUAAGCCUGUGAAGGUGUACUGUGAGGUAUGCUGGAGGUAUCAGAAGUGCGAAUGCUGACAUAAGUAACGAUAAAGCGGGUGAAAAGCCCGCUCGCCGGAAGACCAAGGGUUCCUGUCCAACGUUAAUCGGGGCAGGGUGAGUCGACCCCUAAGGCGAGGCCGAAAGGCGUAGUCGAUGGGAAACAGGUUAAUAUUCCUGUACUUGGUGUUACUGCGAAGGGGGGACGGAGAAGGCUAUGUUGGCCGGGCGACGGUUGUCCCGGUUUAAGCGUGUAGGCUGGUUUUCCAGGCAAAUCCGGAAAAUCAAGGCUGAGGCGUGAUGACGAGGCACUACGGUGCUGAAGCAACAAAUGCCCUGCUUCCAGGAAAAGCCUCUAAGCAUCAGGUAACAUCAAAUCGUACCCCAAACCGACACAGGUGGUCAGGUAGAGAAUACCAAGGCGCUUGAGAGAACUCGGGUGAAGGAACUAGGCAAAAUGGUGCCGUAACUUCGGGAGAAGGCACGCUGAUAUGUAGGUGAAGUCCCUCGCGGAUGGAGCUGAAAUCAGUCGAAGAUACCAGCUGGCUGCAACUGUUUAUUAAAAACACAGCACUGUGCAAACACGAAAGUGGACGUAUACGGUGUGACGCCUGCCCGGUGCCGGAAGGUUAAUUGAUGGGGUUAGCGCAAGCGAAGCUCUUGAUCGAAGCCCCGGUAAACGGCGGCCGUAACUAUAACGGUCCUAAGGUAGCGAAAUUCCUUGUCGGGUAAGUUCCGACCUGCACGAAUGGCGUAAUGAUGGCCAGGCUGUCUCCACCCGAGACUCAGUGAAAUUGAACUCGCUGUGAAGAUGCAGUGUACCCGCGGCAAGACGGAAAGACCCCGUGAACCUUUACUAUAGCUUGACACUGAACAUUGAGCCUUGAUGUGUAGGAUAGGUGGGAGGCUUUGAAGUGUGGACGCCAGUCUGCAUGGAGCCGACCUUGAAAUACCACCCUUUAAUGUUUGAUGUUCUAACGUUGACCCGUAAUCCGGGUUGCGGACAGUGUCUGGUGGGUAGUUUGACUGGGGCGGUCUCCUCCUAAAGAGUAACGGAGGAGCACGAAGGUUGGCUAAUCCUGGUCGGACAUCAGGAGGUUAGUGCAAUGGCAUAAGCCAGCUUGACUGCGAGCGUGACGGCGCGAGCAGGUGCGAAAGCAGGUCAUAGUGAUCCGGUGGUUCUGAAUGGAAGGGCCAUCGCUCAACGGAUAAAAGGUACUCCGGGGAUAACAGGCUGAUACCGCCCAAGAGUUCAUAUCGACGGCGGUGUUUGGCACCUCGAUGUCGGCUCAUCACAUCCUGGGGCUGAAGUAGGUCCCAAGGGUAUGGCUGUUCGCCAUUUAAAGUGGUACGCGAGCUGGGUUUAGAACGUCGUGAGACAGUUCGGUCCCUAUCUGCCGUGGGCGCUGGAGAACUGAGGGGGGCUGCUCCUAGUACGAGAGGACCGGAGUGGACGCAUCACUGGUGUUCGGGUUGUCAUGCCAAUGGCACUGCCCGGUAGCUAAAUGCGGAAGAGAUAAGUGCUGAAAGCAUCUAAGCACGAAACUUGCCCCGAGAUGAGUUCUCCCUGACCCUUUAAGGGUCCUGAAGGAACGUUGAAGACGACGACGUUGAUAGGCCGGGUGUGUAAGCGCAGCGAUGCGUUGAGCUAACCGGUACUAAUGAACCGUGAGGCUUAACCUU